AGGCAACAUAUAAAAAUUCAUACAUUUGAUUAUUUAUACUUGUUUUUCGUUGCAAAAUAGUUAGAAAUGGCAAGAAAAUUUUGCGAUAAUAAAUUACGAUCAAACGACUUCUAGACCAGUGUGCAUUGGGACGCGCUUGUUGUUGGUGCUUCUUUUGAUGCUGUGUGAGCGAACGAGUGUGCGUGUGUGGAACGAGUUGGCCGUUGGCGUUCAUCGCAAUCGCUGUCGCUGCGUUGGCAGCGGCUGCGCUGCCCACAUUGGAGUUAGAGUUGGUGCUUUGCUUGUUGUUGCUGCUGCUACCGCUGCCGCUGCUGCUGUCGCUGUCGCUGCUACUACUGUUGUUGCUGCCGCUGCUGCUGCAUGUGAGCAAAUUGCGCAAAUCGCAUGCGUUUUUUAAUAGCUGCAGAUCGCUGCGCGUUGAUUGCGUAUGCGUGCCAUAUGCGUAAGGGAACGCGUAAGCAACUGCAGCCGCAAAAACAAUUUGCCACGCAUUGCAGCAGGUCGUGUGAUCGAAAUCAACAAAAAACAAAGGCAACUAAUAAUAACACAAAACAACAAACAAAGCGUCCGCAUUGUUUUUGGUCAACCGCAUUGCGGACGCGCAUAAAACGCGUGCGUUUUACAACACAUGCGAGCGAAAAAUUAUAAAAAAAAAAAACAACUAUUAAAAGACCAACUGCACUGUGCGCAAGUGAAGCUCCCCACAGCCUAAAACAGACGGCCACGUCGUUGCGGCCCGUUGCCCCCGUAAGCCUCCUACACUCAAGUACACAUAAACAUAUCUACACGCACAUAUACAUACAUAUGUAUGUGCAUAGUUGUGCAUGCAUAAAGAAGUGUAAGUAUGUGCUUAUUUAAGUGUUACACUGUCAAGCAACAUAUUGUUAACUAUCAGACAUACAGUUUAAACAACAGGCCAAGCCAAGAACAAAAGUUAAUUCUUUAAUUGAAAAUGUUUGAUUAUCCCCAAAGUACCCUUAAAUAAAUGAAGAAAUGAAUACUUA